GGUUAAGCGACUAAGCGUACACGGUGGAUGCCCUGGCAGUCAGAGGCGAUGAAGGGCGUGCUAAUCUGCGAUAAGCGCCGGUAAGGUGAUAUGAACCGCAAUAACCGGCGAUACCCGAAUGGGGAAACCCAGUGUGACUCGUCACACUAUCAUGCAGUGAAUACAUAGCUGUAUGAGGCGAACCGGGGGAACUGAAACAUCUAAGUACCCCGAGGAAAAGAAAUCAACCGAGAUUCCCCCAGUAGCGGCGAGCGAACGGGGAGGAGCCCAGAACCAUCAUCAGCUUGUGCAUCAGUGGAAGCGUCUGGAAAGUCGCAGGGUACAGGGUGAUACUCCCGUACACAAAGGUGCACAGGCUGUGAGUUCGAUGAGUAAGGCGGGACACGUGGUAUCCUGUCUGAAUAUGGGGGGACCAUCCUCCAAGGCUAAAUACUCCUGACUGACCGAUAGUGAACCAGUACCGUGAGGGAAAGGCGAAAAGAACCCCGGCGAGGGGAGUGAAACAGAACCUGAAACCGUGUACGUACAAGCAGUGGGAGCCUCUUUAUGGGGUGACUGCGUACCUUUUGUAUAAUGGGUCAGCGACUUAUAUUCUGUAGCAAGGUUAACCGUAUAGGGGAGCCGCAGGGAAACCGAGUCUUAACUGGGCGUUAAGUUGCAGGGUAUAGACCCGAAACCCGGUGAUCUAGCCAUGGGCAGGUUGAAGGUUGGGUAACACUAACUGGAGGACCGAACCGACUAAUGUUGAAAAAUUAGCGGAUGACCUGUGGCUGGGGGUGAAAGGCCAAUCAAACCGGGAGAUAGCUGGUUCUCCCCGAAAGCUAUUUAGGUAGCGCCUCGUGAACUCAUCUCCGGGGGUAGAGCACUGUUUCGGCUAGGGGGCCAUCCCGGCUUACCAACCCGAUGCAAACUGCGAAUACCGGAGAAUGUUAUCACGGGAGACACACGGCGGGUGCUAACGUCCGUCGUGAAGAGGGAAACAACCCAGACCGCCAGCUAAGGUCCCAAAGUCAUGGUUAAGUGGGAAACGAUGUGGGAAGGCCCAGACAGCCAGGAUGUUGGCUUAGAAGCAGCCAUCAUUUAAAGAAAGCGUAAUAGCUCACUGGUCGAGUCGGCCUGCGCGGAAGAUGUAACGGGGCUAAACCAUGCACCGAAGCUGCGGCAGCGACGCUUAUGCGUUGUUGGGUAGGGGAGCGUUCUGUAAGCCGUCGAAGGUGUGCUGUGAGGCAUGCUGGAGGUAUCAGAAGUGCGAAUGCUGACAUAAGUAACGAUAAACAAGGUGAAAAACCUUGUCGCCGGAAGACCAAGGGUUCCUGUUCAACGUUAAUCGGAGCAGGGUGAGUCGACCCCUAAGGCGAGGCCGAAAGGCGUAGUCGAUGGGAAACAGGUUAAUAUUCCUGUACUUGGUGUUACUGCGAAGGGGGGACGGAGAAGGCUAUAUCGGCCGGGCGACGGUUGUCCCGGUUUAAGCGUGUAGGUGUGUGUUCCAGGCAAAUCCGGUUCACUUUACACUGAGGCGUGACGACGAGGCACUACGGUGCUGAAGUGAUAAAUGCCCUGCUUCCAGGAAAAGCCUCUAAGCAUCAGGUAACACAAAAUCGUACCCCAAACCGACACAGGUGGUCAGGUAGAGAAUACCAAGGCGCUUGAGAGAACUCGGGUGAAGGAACUAGGCAAAAUGGUGCCGUAACUUCGGGAGAAGGCACGCUGGCGCGUAGGUGAAGGGACUUGCUCCCGGAGCCGAAGCCAGUCGAAGAUACCAGCUGGCUGCAACUGUUUAUUAAAAACACAGCACUGUGCAAACACGAAAGUGGACGUAUACGGUGUGACGCCUGCCCGGUGCCGGAAGGUUAAUUGAUGGGGUUAUCCGCAAGGAGAAGCUCUUGAUCGAAGCCCCGGUAAACGGCGGCCGUAACUAUAACGGUCCUAAGGUAGCGAAAUUCCUUGUCGGGUAAGUUCCGACCUGCACGAAUGGCGUAAUGAUGGCCAGGCUGUCUCCACCCGAGACUCAGUGAAAUUGAAAUCGCUGUGAAGAUGCAGUGUACCCGCGGCAAGACGGAAAGACCCCGUGAACCUUUACUACAGCUUGACACUGAACACUGAGCCUUGAUGUGUAGGAUAGGUGGGAGGCUUUGAAGCGUGGACGCCAGUCUGCGUGGAGCCG
rnacentral:rRNA from 1 species